AAAUUGAAGAGUUUGAUCAUGGCUCAGAUUGAACGCUGGCGGCAGGCCUAACACAUGCAAGUCGAACGGUAACAGGAAACAGCUUGCUGUUUCGCUGACGAGUGGCGGACGGGUGAGUAAUGUCUGGGAAGCUGCCUGAUGGAGGGGGAUAACUACUGGAAACGGUAGCUAAUACCGCAUAAUGUCGCAAGACCAAAGAGGGGGACCUUCGGGCCUCUUGCCAUCGGAUGUGCCCAGAUGGGAUUAGCUAGUAGGUGGGGUAACGGCUCACCUAGGCGACGAUCCCUAGCUGGUCUGAGAGGAUGACCAGCCACACUGGAACUGAGACACGGUCCAGACUCCUACGGGAGGCAGCAGUGGGGAAUAUUGCACAAUGGGCGCAAGCCUGAUGCAGCCAUGCCGCGUGUAUGAAGAAGGCCUUCGGGUUGUAAAGUACUUUCAGCGGGGAGGAAGGGAGUAAAGUUAAUACCUUUGCUCAUUGACGUUACCCGCAGAAGAAGCACCGGCUAACUCCGUGCCAGCAGCCGCGGUAAUACGGAGGGUGCAAGCGUUAAUCGGAAUUACUGGGCGUAAAGCGCACGCAGGCGGUUUGUUAAGUCAGAUGUGAAAUCCCCGGGCUCAACCUGGGAACUGCAUCUGAUACUGGCAAGCUUGAGUCUCGUAGAGGGGGGUAGAAUUCCAGGUGUAGCGGUGAAAUGCGUAGAGAUCUGGAGGAAUACCGGUGGCGAAGGCGGCCCCCUGGACGAAGACUGACGCUCAGGUGCGAAAGCGUGGGGAGCAAACAGGAUUAGAUACCCUGGUAGUCCACGCCGUAAACGAUGUCGACUUGGAGGUUGUGCCCUUGAGGCGUGGCUUCCGGAGCUAACGCGUUAAGUCGACCGCCUGGGGAGUACGGCCGCAAGGUUAAAACUCAAAUGAAUUGACGGGGGCCCGCACAAGCGGUGGAGCAUGUGGUUUAAUUCGAUGCAACGCGAAGAACCUUACCUGGUCUUGACAUUCACAGAACUUUCCAGAGAUGGAUUGGUGCCUUCGGGAACUGUGAGACAGGUGCUGCAUGGCUGUCGUCAGCUCGUGUUGUGAAAUGUUGGGUUAAGUCCCGCAACGAGCGCAACCCUUAUCCUUUGUUGCCAGCGGUCCGGCCGGGAACUCAAAGGAGACUGCCAGUGAUAAACUGGAGGAAGGUGGGGAUGACGUCAAGUCAUCAUGGCCCUUACGACCAGGGCUACACACGUGCUACAAUGGCGCAUACAAAGAGAAGCGACCUCGCGAGAGCAAGCGGACCUCAUAAAGUGCGUCGUAGUCCGGAUUGGAGUCUGCAACUCGACUCCAUGAAGUCGGAAUCGCUAGUAAUCGUGGAUCAGAAUGCCACGGUGAAUACGUUCCCGGGCCUUGUACACACCGCCCGUCACACCAUGGGAGUGGGUUGCAAAAGAAGUAGGUAGCUUAACCUUCGGGAGGGCGCUUACCACUUUGUGAUUCAUGACUGGGGUGAAGUCGUAACAAGGUAACCGUAGGGGAACCUGCGGUUGGAUCACCUCCUUA
rnacentral:rRNA from 1 species